AUUGAACGCUGGCGGCAUGCCUAACACAUGCAAGUCGAACGGUAACAGGACGCAAGGUGCCGACGAGUGGCGCACGGGUGAGUAAUGCAUCCGAACGUGCACGGUCGUGGGGGCUAACUACUCGCAAGAGGAGCUAAUACCGCAUACGAUCUAUGGUAGUAAACGGGGGACUGCAAGGCCUAGCGCGAGUGGAGCGGCCGAUGUCAGAUGAGUGAGUUGGUGGGGUACAGGCUCACCAAGUCAACGAUCUGUAGCUGGUCUGAGAGGACGAGCCGCCACACUGGGACUGAGGCACGGCCCAGACUCCUACGGGGGGCAGCAGUGGGGAAUUUUGGACAAUGGGCGCAAGCCUGAUCCAGCAAUGCCGCGGGCAGGAAGAAGGCCUUCGGGUUGUAAACUGCUUUUGUACGGAACGAAACGGCUCUGGAUAAUCCCCGGGGCUAAUGACGGUACCGGAAGAAUACGCACCGGCUAACUACGUG
rnacentral:rRNA from 1 species